rnacentral:rRNA from 1 species
AACGAACGCUGGCGGCAGGCCUAACACAUGCAAGUCGAGCGCGACCUUCGGGUUGAGCGGCGGACGGGUUAGUAACGCGUGGGAAUAUGCCCGGUACUAAGGAAUAGCCUCUGGAAACGGAGAGUAAUACCUUAUACGCCCUUCGGGGAAAGAUUCGAUCGGUAUCGGAUUAGCCCGCGUUAGAUUAAGAUAGUUGGUGGGUAACGGCCUACCAAGUCUACGAUCUAUAGCUGGUUUAGAGGAUGAUCAGCAACACUGGGACUGAGACACGGCCCAGACUCCUACGGGAGGCAGCAGUGGGGAAUCUUGGACAAUGGGCGCAAGCCUGAUCCAGCCAUGCCGCGUGAGUGAUGAAGGCCUUAGGGUCGUAAAGCUCUUUCGCCAGAGAUGAUAAUGACAGUAUCU